GUAGGUGGCAAGCGUUGUCCGGAAUUAUUGGGCGUAAAGCGCGCGCAGGCGGGGUCCUUUAAGUCUGAUGUGAAAGCCCACGGGCUCAACCGUGGAGGGUCAUUGGAAACUGGGGGACUUGAGUACAGAAGAGGAAAGCGGAAUUCCAAAUGUAGCGGUGAAAUGCGUAGAGAUUUGGAGGAACACCAGUGGCGAAGGCGGCUUUCUGGUCUGUAACUGACGCUGAGGCGCGAAAGCGUGGGGAGCAAACAGGAUUAGAUACCCUGGUAGUCCACGCCGUAAACGAUGAGUGCUAAGUGUUAGGGGGUUUCCGCCCCUUAGUGCUGCAGCUAACGCAUUAAGCACUCCGCCUGGGGAGUACGGCCGCAAAGGCUG
rnacentral:rRNA from 1 species